rnacentral:rRNA from 1 species
GGCGGCAUGCCUUACACAUGCAAGUCGAACGGUAACAGGGAGCUUGCUCCGCUGACGAGUGGCGAACGGGUGAGUAAUAUAUCGGAACGUACCUUUGAGUGGGGGAUAACUAGUCGAAAGAUUAGCUAAUACCGCAUACGAUCUACGGAUGAAAGUGGGGGCUCGCAAGACCUCAUGCUCAUAGAGCGGCCGAUAUCUGAUUAGCUAGUUGGUGAGGUAAAGGCUCACCAAGGCAUCGAUCAGUAGCUGGUCUGAGAGGACGACCAGCCACACUGGGACUGAGACACGGCCCAGACUCCUACGGGAGGCAGCAGUGGGGAAUUUUGGACAAUGGGGGCAACCCUGAUCCAGCAAUGCCGCGUGAGUGAAGAAGGCCUUCGGGUUGUAAAGCUCUUUUGUCAGGGGAAGAAACGGGGAUUCCUAAUACGAGUCCCUAAUGACGGUACCUGA